rnacentral:rRNA from 1 species
GGAUAGGAUGGUUUGCAUCGCACUCCUUUGGGCGUUCCUCCUGUUCCAUAUGUAGCACUGUCGGCGUGCGUCCCCUCCAUGAUCGAAAUAUUGCAGGCGUGGGCUCGAGCCUCGUGCUCUGUCCCAGCCACUCAGGCAAUUGGCAAAGCCUCCUCUCCCGCCCCGUCCGCGGCACCUCAAUUGGCAAGACCUGGAGCCCGGCGGCCGCGGACAGGCAAAAUCUUGGCGUAGGUCGUACGGAGGAUCGGAGCUUGCUUGGCGUCGUCAUGGAGGAUCCAUCCAACUCGAUCUGGGCGGGAACUGCCAGUGCCAGACAUUGGAGGAACCAUCCAACCACCAUGCCCGAUGGAUCCGCAGCAGAAAGUCCGCAUCCCCGAAGAGAUCUCGUGAAUCCGGGGUAUGGUUUUCAUGGAAGACGAUUCGAGUAAGAGCAAACACCACUGCUCAUCCCGCUAUGUCAACCAUGGUGAACGAGGUCAGGAGCAACCCGACCCGAGAUCGAGAGAUCUUGUGUGCGGGCUACCGAUGCCCGUGGUCAGAGCAGGUUCGAGCCAUGUGAGCUCACUGUCCGUGCCAUCGUUUAGUUGCUGGAAGUUGCUGAUGUUUGUGUUUGAACUAAGGUUCGAAACAUGUGAGGUCCUGUUUGAACUAAAUCUCUUCAUGCUUGCGGAUGUUCGUGUAACUUUGGUGCUCUGCAAGUUGCUGGAAGCCUGGAAGGAUGCAGAACCGACUUUACAUUUUAUGACUGCCCUUCAUAUAAUUUCCGUUGCAUGAACCAUUGCCAUGCCUGGAAUGCUUUUUUUCUUUGUUAGUGCUGCAUUUUUAUGAUCUAACUGUUCCAUUCUGCUGUAGUUACUCUGUGUUUAAAAACUUUGAACGUCGAAACACCAUGUCGAGCCCGUCUAGCUCAGUUGGUAGAGCGCAAGGCUCUUAACCUUGUGGUCGUGGGUUCGAGCCCCACGGUGGGCGAUACACACCAUUUUAUUUUUUCUGUAUCAUCUUCUGAAUUUCAGAUAUAUUUGGUGUAUUCCUUCAGUCCCGAGUUAUUUACUUUCCCUUCUUUGGAUAACUACAAACAUUUCAGCCUGAAGUUUCUACUCAACUACUCCUUUCAUUUCUAAAUAUAUAUCUUUUUAAAUAUUAUGGACUACACACGGAUGUAUUUUAGAGUGUGGAUUCACUCAUUUUGCUUCGUAUGUAGUUUAUAUUGGAAUCUCUAAAAGGACUUGUAUUAAGGAACGGAGGGAGUAUAUUUAUCGAGCUGAGGAGCAACCUGACCGGAGAUCGACAGAUUUGUGUGCUAACUGCUAAGGCUUGCCCAAGGUUGAGCUAUGAGCUCGCUUCCUUUUGAAGAGUCCAGGGCUCCAGGCUUGUACCAUGGUUUGGUUUCAGAUAUAUUUGGUGUAUUCCUUCAGUCCCGAGUUAUUUACUUUCCCUUCUUUGGAUAACUACAAACAUUUCAGCCUGAAGUUUCUACUCAAC